CUCAUCAUACGUGAACUAGCUGUUUAUACCAGGUCCAAGUCUUUUUACCUCAUGAUUUAUUUUCAGUGUUAACAGUUCAUUUUCUAGCACAGAUCAGCAGGAAAACGCCCACUUCAGCUUCCAUUAAUCCUUUGCUUAACUUAUUCUGCUGUAGAUUGUUAGCUUAUAGCUAAUUAUUGCCCACCUGCGACUGAUAUCUACCAGAGAAUGUCUAGGCUCUGUACACACACCACCAGAGCCGCCGUUUGUUUGUGGAAGAAAAGGAGGAGCUUGAGGAAAAUUGGAAAAUUUCAUUGGUUUUUAGAUUAUUGUGAUUGACAGACAGGUUCAUUGAUUUGAGGCCUGCUGGAGGAGCAUGGCUGAGUUUCUCCCCUUGUGUUUGUAUCCGCCUUUGUGUAGCCUGUGGCAUUGGGACAUUAUGCAUUUCUCUACAAGGACGCUUGCGCUGUCCCAACGUAAAGAAGAGUAGGCCUACCGUGCAGAGUGCCAGCACGCCACAGGUACACCGGGGUUUCAGAGGCCAUCAGCAGUGCCUCCUGUUCUGGUGAUAGAGCAGCUCCUUUUUCUGUGAAGUGUCACUCAACGUGUGCUAUUGCAAUCUCUUGGGCAGCAAUGAAAGGGAACUCUGGCCAAUAUCUGUUCUGUGGCUACUUGGUCAUUGCCAUGUACGUUUUCUAGGUUUUACAGUUUGAAUGUGGUGUCGCUUCCUCCAAUCUCUGCAGCCGUUCUCCCUAGAGAUGUCUAAGUCUGCUUUGUAUAAACCUGUGUGUUGCUAAAUAAAAAUGUUGAAUUCA